rnacentral:rRNA from 1 species
GCGCAGCUGCGCGUGCUUAAACAUGCAAGUCGAACGACGAAGGUGGUGCUUGCCCGCCUGAUUAGUGGCGAACGGGUGAGUAACACGUGAGUAACCUGCCCUCCACUUCGGGAUAACCUCGGGAAAUCGUGGCUAAUACCGGAUAUGAGCACUCAUCGCAUGGUGGGUGUUGGAAAGAUUUAUCGGUGGGGGAUGGACUCGCGGCCUAUCAGUUUGUUGGUGAGGUGAUGGCUCACCAAGACGAUGACGGGUAGCCGGCCUGAGAGGGCGACCGGCCACACUGGGACUGAGACACGGCCCAGACUCCUACGGGAGGCAGCAGUGGGGAAUAUUGCACAAGGGCGAAAGCCUGAUGCAGCGACGCCGCGUGGGGGAUGACGGCCUUCGGGUUGUAAACCCCUUUCAGUAGGGAAGAAGCGA